UACGGAGGGGGCAAGCGUUGUUCGGAGUUACUGGGCGUAAAGGGCUCGCAGGCGGUUUCUUAAGUCUGAUGUGAAAGCCCCCGGCUCAACCGGGGAGGGUCAUUGGAAACUGGGAAACUUGAGUGCAGAAGAGGAGAGUGGAAUUCCACGUGUAGCGGUGAAAUGCGUAGAGAUGUGGAGGAACACCAGUGGCGAAGGCGACUCUCUGGUCUGUAACUGACGCUGAGGAGCGAAAGCGUGGGGAGCGAACAGG
rnacentral:rRNA from 1 species